rnacentral:lncRNA from 1 species
GUGCUCCCUUUCCGUUCGUUCGUACCUUUCGUCAAUUUGUAAGAAAGCUCUAAUAAGAAAUAGAAAGUUAAAGUCUAUCUGAUAUAUACAGAAAGUUAAAGUCUAUCUGAUAUAUACAUCAUUUUUACACAAUUUAAUCUACUGUGUGAUGGUUCAUAUUCUGGACGCCAGUCUUUGCUCCUUUGUAAUAAAUCCAUAAAA